UGGCGCCUAGGGGGGCAGCAGUGAGGAAUAUUGGUCAAUGGGCGAGAGCCUGAACCAGCCAAGUCGCGUGAAGGAUGACGGCCCUACGGGUUGUAAACUUCUUUUGUCAGGGAGCAAUUGAGUCCACGUGUGGUCUUAGCGAGAGUACCUGAAGAAAAAGCAUCGGCUAACUCCGUGCCAGCAGCCGCGGUAAUACGGAGGAUGCGAGCGUUAUCCGGAUUUAUUGGGUUUAAAGGGUGCGUAGGCGGAAUAUCAAGUCAGCGGUAAAAAUUCGGGGCUCAACCCCGUCGUGCCGUUGAAACUGA
rnacentral:rRNA from 1 species